rnacentral:rRNA from 1 species
UUCUUAUACCCUUAAUUAUAAGUAAAAUCUGCUCAAUGAUAUUUAAAUAGCCGCAGAAUUUUAACUGUGCUAAGGUAGCAUAAUCAUUUACCUUUUAAUUGGAGGUUUGUAUGAAAGAUUUUACAUUUAAAUUAUUUUUUUAUUUAAUUAAAUUAAAAUUUUAUUAAAAAUAAAAAUAUUUUUAUAAAUAAAAAAGACGACAAGACCCUAUUGAACUUAACUUCAGUUAAGCUGGGGCAGCUAAUUAAAUAUUAUUUUAAUAACACAAUUAAGAUAAAUUUCUGGAACCCCCAAUUUGAACAAGUUACCAUAGGGAUAACAGCGUAAUAAUUUUUAAAAGUUCUUAUUUAAAAAAAAGUUUACGACCUCGAUGUUGAAUUAAAUUUACUUUAAAACGCAAUAGUAUUAAAAGUAGGUCUGUUCGACCUUUAAAUUUUUACAU